rnacentral:rRNA from 1 species
UACGUAGGUGGCAAGCGUUGUCCGGAUUUACUGGGCGUAAAGAGCGCGCAGGCGGUCGUUCAAGUCGCGUGUGAAAGCCCCCGGCUCAACUGGGGAGGGUCACGCGAUACUGAUCGACUCGAAGGCAGGAGAGGGUAGUGGAAUUCCCGGUGUAGUGGUGAAAUGCGUAGAUAUCCGGAGGAACACCAGUGGCGAAGGCGACUACCUGGCCUGUUCUUGACGCUGAGGCGCGAAAGCUAGGGGAGCAAACGGG